UACGUAGGGGGCGAGCGUUGUUCGGAUUUACUGGGCGUAAAGGGCGCGCAGGCGGUCUUGAAAGUCAGGCGUGAAAGCCCCGGGCUUAACCUGGGAAUUGCGCUUGAUACUCUGAGACUGGAGUACGGGAGAGGAGAGUGGAAUUCCCAGUGUAGAGGUGAAAUUCGUAGAUAUUGGGAAGAACACCAGUGGCGAAGGCGGCUCACUGGACCACAACUGACGCUGAGGCGCGAAAGCUAGGGGAGCAAACAGG
rnacentral:rRNA from 1 species